AAAAACCACGGUGGUACGGGAUGGGCCCGCGUCCGAUUAGUUAGUUGGCGGGGUAACGGCCCGCCAAGACCGCGAUCGGUAGCCGGCCUGAGAGGGCGGACGGCCACAUUGGGACUGAGACACGGCCCAGACUCCUGCGGGAGGCAGCAGUGGGGGAUAUUGCACGAUGGGGGGAACCCUGAUGCAGCGACGCCGCGUGGGUGAGGAAGUACCCCGGUAUGUAAAGCCCUUUCGGCAGGGAAGAAAAUGACGGUACCUGGCGAAGAAGCCCCGGCUAACUACGUGCCAGCAGCCGCGGUAAUACGUAGGGGGCAAGCGUUAUCCGGAUUCACUGGGUGUAAAGGGAGCGCAGGCGGUACGGCGAGUCUGAUGUGAAAACCCGGGGCCCAACCCCGGGACCGCACCGGAUACUGCCGGACUCGAGUGCCGGAGGGGCAGGCGGAAUUCCUGGUGUAGCGGUGAAAUGCGCAGAUAUCAGGAGGAACACCGGUGGCGAAGGCGGCCUGCUGGACGGUAACUGACGCUGAGGCUCGAAAGCGUGGGGAGCGAACAGGAUUAGAUACCCUGGUAGUCCACGCCGUAAACGAUGAAUACCAGGUGUCGGCGGGCACGGCCCGCCG
rnacentral:rRNA from 1 species